AGUGGGGAAUAUUGGUCAAUGGGGGAAACCCUGAUCCAGCGACGCCGCGUGUGUGAAGAAGGCCUGCGGGUUGUAAAGCACUUUUAGUGGGGACAAAAAGUUACGGAUUAAUACUCUGUGGUCUUGAUUUAACCCAAAGAAAAAGCACCGGCUAACUCUGUGCCAGCAGCCGCGGUAAUACAGAGGGUGCGAGCGUUAAUCGGAAUUACUGGGCGUAAAGCGCGCGUAGACGGUUUUGUAAGUCAGAUGUGAAAUCCCUGGGCUCAACCUGGGAACUGCAUUUGAUACUGCAUGGCUAGAGUAUCGAAGAGGGAAGUGGAAUUUCCG
rnacentral:rRNA from 1 species